AUGGGCCCCAAUGGGAUGCACUCACGAGUGCUGAGGGAGCUGGCAGAUGUUAUUGCUAAGCCACUCUCCAUCAUCUUUGAAAGGUCAUGGAGAACAGGAGAGGUGCCUGAGGACUGGAAGAAAGCCAGUGUCACUCCAGUCUUCAAAAAGGGCAAGAAGGAGGACCCAGGGAACUACAGGCCAGUCAGCUUCACCUCCAUCCCUGGAAAGGUGAUGGAGCAGCUCAUCCUGGAGGCCAUCUCCAAGCAUGUGGAGGAAAAGAAGGUGAUCAGGAGUAGUCAGCAUGGCUUCACCAAGGGGAAAUCAUGCCUAACCAAUCUGAUAGCCUUCUAUGAUGGAAUGACUGGCUGGGUAGAUGAGGGGAGAGCAGUGGAUGUGGUCUACCUAGACUUCAGCAAGGCUUUUGACACUGUCUCCCAUAACAUCCUCAUAGACAAGCUCAGGAAGUGUGGGCUAGAUGAGUGGACAGUGAGGUGGAUUGAGAACUGGCUGAAUGGCAGAGCUCAGAGAGUUGUGAUCAGUGGCACAGAGUCUAGUUGGAGGCCUGUAGCUAGUGGUGUCCCCCAGGGGUCAGGACUGGGUCAAGUCUUGCUCAGCUUAUUCAUCAAUGACCUGGAUGAAGGCACAGAGUGCACCCUCAGCAAGUUUGCCGACGAUACAAAACUGGGAGGAGUGGCUGAUACGCCAGAGGGCUGUGCUGCCAUUCAGAGAGACCUGGACAGGCUGGAGAGGUGGGCGGAGAGGAACCUCAUGAAGUUCAACAAAGGCAAGUGCAGGGUCCUGCACCUGGGGAGGAAGAGCCCCACGCGCCAGGACAGCUUGGGGGUUGACCUGCUGGAAAGCAGCUCUGCCGAGAAGGACCUGGGAGUGCUGGUGGACACCAAGUUAAGCAUAAGGCAGCAAUGUGCCCUUGUGGCCAAGAAGGCCAAUGGUAUCCUGGGGUGCAUCAGGAAGAGUGUUGCCAGCAGGUCGAGGGAGGUGAUCCUCCCCCUCUACUCAGCCCUGCUGAGGCCACAUCUGCAGUACUGUGUCCAGUUCUGGACUCCCCAAUACAGGAGAGACAUGACACUACUGGAGCGAGUCCAGUGA
rnacentral:lncRNA from 1 species